rnacentral:rRNA from 5 species
UGAACUGCGGAAGGAUCAUUA